rnacentral:tRNA from 1 species
AGGAGUGUAGCUCAGUGGUUAGAGCACUUGUCUAGUAUGCAUGAAGUCCUGGGUUCAAAUCCUAGCACCACCU